AGCCGCUGAUGAUUCCCACUAUACUUUUCUGACAUCUCCUAUGAAUGCUGCUAAGCAGCUGAUUAUAAAUUGAAAUCUGAGGCUC